AAUGAUAUAUGCGAGAAAUGAUGGGAGAUAAAUAGAGCUUGUCUCGGUUUCCACUUCGUUUUCAAAUAUUAUGUUGUGCAAUGGGAUGUGACCAGUUCUAAAAGCGUAUUGCAUCUUUUCAAAACAGUAAAAAAAUGUAUAAAUAAAACGCUAAAUGCAGUAGGCCUUUAUAGACCUUUGAAGAUCUUUUUUGUUGAAUUCCUUAAUUCCUGCUGCGCUAUUAGAAGAGGUUAUAUAUUUUCACCAGUGAUGUUUGUUGCUUGUAGAGAAAAAUGCUAUUUAUUUUCAAGACAAUAAAAUAAAAUCACGUGACCAGGAGAAAGUGUGUUUUACUCAUUUCAUAGCAGCUUGAAGAAUGUAGAGAACAGAUUGUUGGCACUGAUACAUGCUGGAAUGCAUUGGAAAACGAAAAUAUACGUAGAUUAUGUUAAACAACAAAGUAUCCGGCAACAGAUAACAUCUGUAGUUCGGCGGUAUGGAAGCAAACACCAAAAUUAAUGUUACUUUGCGUUUUGAUACUAGUAAUCUGUAUGUUGUAAAUAACGAUAACACUAACCCUUAUCAUGCUGGACUCGACUGAUUCUACAUUUGCGACCAGUGCAGAUAUUAAUCAGCCUGCACAUCUGUGCAGUCUGAUCAAGACCUGCACUGUUCGCCAUUCAGUUCGUAUCUAUUUGGUUAGCAACCCUUAUAAUAUAACAGUUAAUGGUACUGUCGACAAGUAGUUCAUUAUAGAAAUUUAGCAGGGAGACAAAGUAAAUGAAAGUGGAAUUAGCAUAUUACAUGCAUUAAAAUACAAUUAGUUCACAAUAAUUAACUUGCAGAUUUCAUUGGUAGAUCAAUGUGAUAACGUUUGAUAUAUCUUGUUAACUUUAAAUAAAUAAAUCAUAAAAAUUCUCAUUCAAGUGUAACGUAUGUUUAAUCCAUCACUUUUGAUAAACAUUUCCGCUUGCACUACAUGUGAGUAGAUUAAAUAAUUCAUCUUUUUGCCUUUCAAAUCAGCUAGAAAAGGGCGGAGUACAAAAUCUUUCGUUAUGAAUCACGGUACUUGUAAAUGAUUUUGUUACGUCUAGUGAGGAUUGUAUUAAUUACAUACAGGAGUAGAUCGAUAGAUUUCCGCUGCUUACAAAUAGAAUCAUUUUCUAUCAUAAACUAACAUUUAAAAUGGCAAUUUUGCCAUAGAAGCCAGCUUUUCUGUGCACGACUGUUUUUUAUUGAUAAAUCAUGCUUGUUCAUUAACAAGUGAAUGAGCCUUUAUGUUACCUCAAACUUAUUUAGGUUAAAAAAAAACAGAUGAAAAGCUUUUGGUGCACCUUUAAGUGUUUAAAUGUGUUUUAAGGGUCACUUCCGCCAGAACAAGUCAAUAUUCGGCUCUAUUCAAUGGUUUAAAGGCCUACACAUGAUUUGUGAUUAGCACAAGUUUUCUCAGUGCAUCACAGCCAGUCAGUCCAACGCCAAGUAUGAAGCCGGUACUGUUAGUUAAAGUUCUAGAGCGGUAGGACCAUACCUUAUUCAACACUAUGUUCUAAUCGAGGAUAAACCAAUAAACUGAAGGAAUGUGGUGUAAAACCCAAGGAUAAAAAGAUAUGAUAUUGCGGCAAGUUCUAAAAGAUAAAUGAUAUCGCAACAAGCUGAAACUUUUAUGUGCAAUGACGGUGGCUUGAAAGAUUCAAACGCAGAAUGGCCGAUGAAGCUAGGACAAACGUGUGCAGCCAGCGUGACAAGGCUUUCCGCCAGAGGCGAAAUUUGCAUACGCUCGAGAAAAGUCACACAGAAACGUUUCUUUAGGGGUUUCAGCUCUCGAUAGGCAUUGAUGAAGAGAGCACAAGUUCACACUUAAACGCUCACGACAGGAGGGGGAACAAUCCUCGGACUUUCAGUUCUGACAUUUGCGGCUAUCUGGUGGUGACCCAUUACGAACUCACCGAGUACAUGCCCAGUCAUGAAGACAACCGGAGUCUGCCUGCAUACAGUGUGGUGCAUUGAAUAAGCACAGGCCAUUCCUGUAUCGGGAUAUAAGGCAACGUCGCAGGAAUGUUUGUGUAAUUUAAACCAGUGAAUACUUGAUGAAGACAUGUUGAUCUCGAAUUUUUAGUGGUGCAUUCUGGUCAUUGUGUCAAAUAGCAUUUUUGGCAUGAUGCAACCCUCGUGCCUCUCUAUUUUUUUGUUCUUAAGCGGCUUUCAAAUUCAGAUAUCUGUUACUAUCAAAGCCAUUGACUUGUAACAUAAAAUAGUUAUUUGCUAUCAAAGUCUACACCAAUGAAACAAUUCCUGCUUCUUUGUUUGAAUUUGACAGAGUUAUGUCCGUUUCAACUAAGAAUGUUUUGGUUAAAGAUUUUGAUAAAGUCAAAUAUCGCUGUUACUAUCUAAUUUUCUGAAUUUUCGGGACAUAAUACAUUAUUUUACAAUCAUUGUUUACGUAUUAUUAUACAUGAAGUUACAUGUCUUUAAAAAUAAUAAAAUUGAAGCUGACAGUUCUUGAAUGUGUUAGUUGUAAAAUGUUACAAAUGUUUAAACGAAAAGUUCAAUCUACAUCAUGAUACAUGGCCUUAAAGGCUUAAGAGAGUUAACUGUGUAAUAACUAAAAUUUUCAACAUAAAAAAAUUCUUCAAAUUUUGUCUGUUGACUCAAGAUAAUGUCUGAAAUAGAAUUUUGAAAGAAACUUCCGAUGUCAGCAUUCUGAAUUUUUAAUCGAAAAGAAGAAAUGUCAAUUAACACGCCAACAUGCUGUGUAUACAUCAGUUGUCGAGUCCAAUUCUUACGCUAAUUUCAUUCCGCCUUGCACUGCUGUCCCACGAAACACCAAGGGAUCCUUUUAACAGCA